rnacentral:rRNA from 1 species
GACGAACGCUGGCGGCGUGCUUAACACAUGCAAGUCGAACGAUGAAGCCGGAGCUUGCUCUGGUGAAUUAGUGGCGAACGGGUGAGUAACACGUGAGUAACCUGCCCUUGACUCUGGGAUAACUGCGGGAAACUGUAGCUAAUACCGGAUACGACCCUCGGAGGCAUCUCCUGGGGGUGGAAAGAAUUUCGGUCAAGGAUGGACUCGCGGCCUAUCAGCUAGUUGGUGAGGAAAAGGCUCACCAAGGCGACGACGGGUAGCCGGCCUGAGAGGGGGACCAGCAACCCUGGGACUGAGACAAGGCCCAGACUCCAACGGGGGGACGCAGUCGGGAAUAUUGCACAAUGGACGCAAGCCUGAUGCAGCAACGACGCGUGAGGGAUGACGGCCUUCGGGUUGUAAACCUCUUUUAGCAGGGAAGAAGCGAAAGUGACGGUACCUGCAGAAAAAGCACCGGCUAACUACGUGCCAGCCGCCGCAGUAA